rnacentral:rRNA from 1 species
CAGCGCCACGAGUGGCAUCCACGUUUAUUGGGCCUAAAGUGUCCGUAGCCGGUUUAGAAAGCCUUCUGUGAAAGCGGUAAGCUCAACUUAUCGAAAUGCAGGAGAGACUUCUAGACUAGAGACCGGGAGGAGUUAGAGGUAUUCUGGGGGAAGCGGUAAAAUGCGAUAAUCCUCGGAGGACCACCUGUGGCGAAGGCGUCUAACCAGAACGGGUCUGACGGUGAGGGACGAAGGCUAGGGGAGCGAUCCGGAUUAGAUACCCGAGUAGUCCU